UAAUGGUUAGCACUCUGGACUUUGAAUC
rnacentral:piRNA from 4 species